GACUUUGUGGCUCAGUCGUAUGCAUCGAAAAGAUGAGCGAAGCGAUUCUUUUAGAUGCCGUAGAGAGCAAAUGACUCUUAAUCAUUGGGUCGUGGGUUCGAGCCCCACCGGGGUCA
rnacentral:tRNA from 1 species